CCUACGGGUGGCAGCAGUGAGGAAUAUUGGUCAAUGGGCGCGAGCCUGAACCAGCCAAGUAGCGUGAAGGAUGACUGCCCUACGGGUUGUAAACUUCUUUUAUAAAGGAAUAAAGUGCGGCACGUGUGCCUUUUUGUAUGUAAUUUAUGAAUAAGGAUCGGCUAACUCCGUGCCAGCAGCCGCGGUAAUACGGAGGAUCCGAGCGUUAUCCGGAUUUAUUGGGUUUAAAGGGAGCGUAGAUGGGGUGUUAAGGAAGUUGUGAAAGUUUGCGGUUCAACCGUAAAAUUGCAAUUGAUAAUGGCAGCCUGGAGUACAGUUGAGGUAGGCGGAAUUCGUGGUGUAGCGGUGAAAUGCUUAGAUAUCACGAAGAACUCCGAUUGCGAAGGCAGCCUACUAAACUGCCACUGACAUUGAUGCUCGAAAGUGUGGGUAUCAAACAGGAUUAGAUACCCCAGUAGUC
rnacentral:rRNA from 1 species